GACGAACGCUGGCGGCGUGCCUAAUACAUGCAAGUAGAACGCUGAAGAGAGGAGCUUGCUCUUCUUGGAUGAGUUGCGAACGGGUGAGUAACGCGUAGGUAACCUGCCUGGUAGCGGGGGAUAACUAUUGGAAACGAUAGCUAAUACCGCAUAAUAUUGACUAUUGCAUGAUAGUUGAUUAAAAGGUGCAAUUGCACCACUACCAGAUGGACCUGCGUUGUAUUAGCUAGUUGGUGGGGUAACGGCUCGCCAAGGCGACGAUACAUAGCCGACCUGAGAGGGUGAUCGGCCACACUGGGACUGAGACACGGCCCAGACUCCUACGGGAGGCAGCAGUAGGGAAUCUUCGGCAAUGGACGGAAGUCUGACCGAGCAACGCCGCGUGAGUGAAGAAGGUUUUCGGAUCGUAAAGCUCUGUUGUAAGAGAAGAACGAGUGUGAGAGUGGAAAGUUCACACUGUGACG
rnacentral:rRNA from 1 species